UUACUAGGACAUAUGAAAAGCUAUAUCGCAGUUGUUUUCCUCAUUUUUUUAGUUUCUGAUAACAAGAUUCAAGAUGGAAGUUUGGAAAAAUCUUUUCAAUUGCUAGGCAAAAGGAAGGUCUGUGUUGUAUUGGAAGCUGGUAUGUGAAAAGAGUGGUCUAAUCCAUUGCUUUCGACUGAUCCCCAUAACAGACCGUGGCUCGAUUUUGGACUAAAUAUGUUGACAAUAAGGUCCCGAUAGACAGGUUGACAUUCCUCCAAG